AAGUCGUAACAAGGUUUCCGUAGGUGAACCUGCGGAAGGAUCAUUAAUGAUUGACCGAAAGGUCCUAAAUCUUAACAUCCCUCACCUCUGUGAACCGUUUGACCCCCGGGUCUAACAAAACUAUACAAACAUCAGUGUAACGAACGUCUUGUUAUCUUAACAAAAAACAAAACUUUUAACAACGGAUCUCUUGGCUCUC
rnacentral:misc_RNA from 1 species